UGAGAGGCUAGACCGGGGUGCUCGUCCUGCCCUGUAACCAUCAAUGGAUGUACGAUGGGGUCGAAGCCAAGGGAGAGGUGUUUUUUCCAUAUAGUGGUCUUGGCUCGUACAAUGAAAUCCUGUCCUGUUUGACUGGCUUUUUUAAGAACCACGUCAGGUCCGGAAGGAAGCAGCGUUAAUUAAUUUGGCUGGUGCUUUCAGGGUAGCGGGAUUAAGGAAAGGUCAAGAACAGCCAUUAUCUGGUUGAAACAUCCAUCUCUUGGCGCGCCUCUCU
rnacentral:SRP_RNA from 1 species